rnacentral:lncRNA from 1 species
AAGAAGAGUUGACAGCAGCCUGUUCUGUGCCAGACAGCUGUAUAUAUGCAAAAUGUAAAUCAUUGUGGAUAUCCUGAGUCCAUUAAAACCAGAAAGGCCAGCGCUUCUUGCUGCGUUAUCUUUAACUAUCAAUCUCACAACAAGGAAGUAAGAAGGUGCUGUAUGGAAAUACAGGUUUAAAACCCCUGGGUGUGUAGCCCUCACCCACACCAUUACUGCUGCAACAAUGGGAGAGGACUUUCAGUAGGGAGUGUCGUACCUCCUUAAAGCUUGACUUCAUAAGAAAAUUCCAGCUAUGGCAUAGAAUUCGAUCUGGUCAGCAUUUGAGCAAAUACCUGUUCCUGCUUAUAUAAACAGCUCAAUUAAAUGCAGUGCUUAAAUGCUUGCAGAACUGGCAGCAUGUUUUAUUAUGACAGUUUGCCAAGGAAGUAAGGAACUCAGGAGUAAAUCUUUCCUGCCUUGUGCACAGAAGCAAUCUCAGUGAAUUCUCCUCUGCGUGUAAAGCAAGCAGGAUGCAGCAUAACCUUCAAACUGUGCCAAGCUCUUUCUCACACUGGGUGCCUCUGGGAAACAGGAAAACUAGAGAUGUGCAUAGAGAAUUGCUCCUUGGAAUUCUAAUUAAAACCACGAUUGCACAGUUUAGAAUUGCUUUCUCGGAGCUCCAAAUGGAAGACAAUAUUCUGGCCAAUUACCAGUGGACCUGAAGGACCCUGAUCUCCUGUACCAUGGAUAAAACCAGCCAAGGAACUUAGUGUGAUCCAAAAGCCUCUGGGCUCAUGCAUCCCCCUCUCACUGCACAAUCUAUCAGCAGCAGGUACUGCUUGUAGCCGGACUUUUUGCAAGCCACAUGGCAGUUCUGGAAGCCCAGAUUUUUCCCUACUGCUGGAUGAUUUCUUCAUUAUUCCUGCCUGACAGGAACAGUACUCCAAGAUAGAAACUAUUUUAAGGAAGGGGACAUGGCUCUUUUCUUUUUUCCCCAGGACUUUUCUGCUAGAGGCAUGCUGCCAAAGGGGUUGACUGGAUUGUACUUUGAAUGUCAAUGCUAAUAAAUUAAGCAAAA